rnacentral:rRNA from 1 species
GCAUCGAUGAAGAACGCAGCGAAAUGCGAUACUUGGUGUGAAUUGCAGAAUCCCGUGAACCAUCGAGUUUUUGAACGCAAGUUGCGCCCGAAGCCACUAGGCCGAGGGCACGCCUGCCUGGGCGUCACGC